GGUUAAGCGACUAAGCGUACACGGUGGAUGCCCUGGCAGUCAGAGGCGAUGAAGGACGUGCUAAUCUGCGAUAAGCGUCGGUAAGGUGAUAUGAACCGUUAUAACCGGCGAUUUCCGAAUGGGGAAACCCAGUGUGUUUCGACACACUAUCAUUAACUGAAUCCAUAGGUUAAUGAGGCGAACCGGGGGAACUGAAACAUCUAAGUACCCCGAGGAAAAGAAAUCAACCGAGAUUCCCCCAGUAGCGGCGAGCGAACGGGGAGCAGCCCAGAGCCUGAAUCAGUGUGUGUGUUAGUGGAAGCGUCUGGAAAGGCGCGCGAUACAGGGUGACAGCCCCGUACACAAAAAUGCACAUGCUGUGAGCUCGAUGAGUAGGGCGGGACACGUGGUAUCCUGUCUGAAUAUGGGGGGACCAUCCUCCAAGGCUAAAUACUCCUGACUGACCGAUAGUGAACCAGUACCGUGAGGGAAAGGCGAAAAGAACCCCGGCGAGGGGAGUGAAAAAGAACCUGAAACCGUGUACGUACAAGCAGUGGGAGCACGCUUAGGCGUGUGACUGCGUACCUUUUGUAUAAUGGGUCAGCGACUUAUAUUCUGUAGCAAGGUUAACCGAAUAGGGGAGCCGAAGGGAAACCGAGUCUUAACUGGGCGUUAAGUUGCAGGGUAUAGACCCGAAACCCGGUGAUCUAGCCAUGGGCAGGUUGAAGGUUGGGUAACACUAACUGGAGGACCGAACCGACUAAUGUUGAAAAAUU
rnacentral:rRNA from 1 species